rnacentral:lncRNA from 1 species
ACAAUUGUUUCAACUCUUGCUGCAGCUUCAGAGACUGGUGUUUGUGUGUGUGUGUGUGUGUGUGUGUGUGUGUGUGUGUGUGUGUGAAUUCCCUCCCUGUGUUUGUACCUUAAGAAAAAAAAUCCCCUCUGGAAUGGCCGAUUCAAUCCCCUUUGUCUUCUCCUUUCCACCUCAGCCCUAUCACUCCCUCGCAGCACUGAGACACCAGUCCAGCCCACCAGGGCCUGCAGAACAUUAACCCCAAAGAGUGAUCACUGCCCACAGCCAGCAAUGCUUCCUAGUUUGUUUGUUUUGACCUUGGCCCUUCACAUUUUUCUGGUGUCUGCUGACUCCGUGUCUGGCUUUUAUCUCUAAUCCUAGCUCAGCUCAAUUCCAGUCUACAGUCUUCCCUGCUACUCAAGACUUAAUUUACGAUUUCCACUUUGUCAUCCAACUGGAGAAACUUUCUCUGAGCGUCCUAUGCUGCUGUGGCAGAGAAUCCAGCCCCUGGAGUGCCUGCGCGAAGUUGGUAAGGGGCCCACAAACUGGGGGUGCCUGCCAGCUCUGCACCCCUGCCAGGGGUAGGUCUGGCAGUCACACCGUCCCCCCACCUGUGAGCCCGUCUGCCAGCCACAGAGGCUCCGGUCCACUUGAGGCUGGUCCCAUCUGGCUGUGCCCAACGUCCUUCCUCCUGGGAGAGUGGAUGGCAUCAGGCUGUGCCAGCAAUAGCUUCGUGGCCCUGAGGUGCCCACCCUCGCUUGGAAGCACAGAUGAGCUCCGACACCUCCUCUACCCGUCAACCCAGACGUCUCCAAGGCCAACGAGGAUCAUAGUGCCGGAGUGGCCUUGGAAACACGCUUCUAGGCCCAAUCUCCA